rnacentral:rRNA from 1 species
CUGGCUCAGGAUGAACGCUAGCGGCAGGCCUAAUACAUGCAAGUCGAACGCUCAGUAGCAAUACUGGGAGUGGCGCACGGGUGCGUAACGCGUACACAAUCUACCUCUAAGCGGGGGACACCUCCUGGAAACGGGGAUUAAUACCGCAUAAUAUGCCGAGGUCGCAUGACUUUGGUAUUAAAGCAGCAAUGCACUUAGAGAUGAGUGUGCGUCCCAUUAGGUAGUUGGUGAGGUAACGGCUCACCAAGCCUAUGAUGGGUAGCCGGUCUGAGAGGAUGGUCGGCCACACGGGCACUGAGACACGGGCCCGACUCCUACGGGAGGCAGCAGUAAGGAAUAUUGGUCAAUGGUGGAAACACUGAACCAGCCAUGCCGCGUGGAGGAAUAAGGUCCUACGGAUUGUAAACUCCUUUUGACGAGGAAGAAAGUGUUAGAUUUAUCUAAUUUUGACGGUACUCGUAGAAUAAGCACCGGCUAACUCCGUG